GUGACCUGGGCAUUGCCAUGGAGAAGCUGCACACGGCUCAGGACCGGGCCAGGCCUUGCUUGUCCUGUGGCCACAAAGCUACAGGACACAUGGUGGGAACACAUGGAACCCUUCUGAUGACACGGCAACACUUGGCUUUAGACCCAGGCUUGGAAGAGCGCGUUGAAGAAAUGGAGUGUGGGAAUGGAAAGUCAGCCUGACUAUACCAUAGAAGUGUUGGAAUGAGGAAGGCAUCUGACCCCUGGCCUCGCUCCAUCUAAGCUCCGGAAGCCCAGGCUCCUUUUCCAGAGGCAGAGAGGUCUGAGGCUGGUCAAGAGGCUUAGAGAAGGACAGAGCCGAGGAGCAGAAUAAACAGCCCUUCUUCUCCGGAAAAUGACCCUGCUGAUCCCGGAGUUAAAAAUAGUGGCGUAUUGAUCGUGGGCUGUGCCUAGCCAGCACCAGUUAUCUGAGCCUCACUGGCAGAAGGACCUGUCUGACUCAGCCACUCAGGUGGGGUCGACUCUACAGUAUGCCUGGCGAGGGACGAGAAGGCCUACAGACCACACACAUCCCAGCUUAGCUCUCCCCAGGCCCCCACCUCUGAUCUCUGGAGAACCCGGGACACAGGUUGACCCCUAGAUCUUCCUCAUGGGACUUGGAGGCACGGCAUGGGAUGGGCAGGAGGCGCUGGUUUCCUUCUUUUCUGGUGCGGUGACUGAAGUCAGGUGCUUGAGCUGGGAGCCCUGUCUCCUACAGGAAGGUAUCUGAAUGCCUCAUCUUGCCUGCUGCUGGUCUGCUCAUGAAGAAAAGGUUUCUGCAACAAGGGAGGAGCCAUGUCCAGAGUCACACCAGGAGUGAGGAGGGCCUGUUUCCAGUGCCUGCAGCCGCUCUUAAAGUCUGAACCACGUGUCACGGAGUCUCCAGUUCUCUUGGGUGAUGGUCUUAGAAGGCUUGGGCUACAGUAAGGAUGCUAUCCAUCUCCCUCUGGUGGCCAGCCUUCUCUCAGCCUUUUUCCAUCCUCUGCCUCAUUGAGCUGCCCACCCCAGGUACCACUUGCUAUGGCUUUAUUCACUCAUAGGAAUGCCCUUAGGUCAUUUUCUUAUCGGGCAGAUGGGGUCCCAAGCUU
rnacentral:lncRNA from 1 species